rnacentral:rRNA from 1 species
CCCUUAGAUGUCCUGGGCCGCACGCGCGUUACACUGAUGCAUUCAACGAGCUUAUAACCUUGGCCGAGAGGCCUGGGCAAUCUUGCUAACGUGCAUCGUGAUAGGGAUAGAUUAUUGAAAUUAUUAAUCUUGAACGAGGAAUUCCUAGUAAACGCAGAUCAUCAAUCUGCAUUGAUUACGUCCCUGCCCUUUGUACGCACCGCCCGUCGCACCUACCGAUUGGAUGGUCCGGUGAAGCCUCGGGAUUGUGGUUCUUGCCGCUUUAUUGUGGCGUGACCGCGAGAACUUGUCUAAACCUUAUCAUCUAGAGGAAGGUGAAGUCGUAACA